CCAAUCACUGUGGAAAUCAAGGGUGAGAAAGACAGAAGAUUAGGAAUCGUCUCCUUCAUUUCCAUUCCUCUUGUAGUCUACCUACACUCCUGGUUAUAUCACACCCUCCAAUGGACAAGAGGUUAUUGCCACACAGCCAAGUAGUUGUUAUAUGCUUCUCCUCAAGCCACGUCUCCAAUCAACCCUCAUCACCACCUACAUUUAAGUCUGCCUGUUCCUGGAAAUCCUUGCCAAAGUAUUGCAGCCUCUCCUAGCGUGUUCCUGACCCACGUCAUUCCUGCCAGCCGCCUGUUCUGUCCACUGCCUGCCACCUGUCCCCGCCGCCGCCUGUCAACACAUCCAGGACCACUUCCAUAACCUUUGCUCAAUAAACUGUUCAUCAUUUUACAUCAGCCUCCGCCUGCACUUGGGUUCAGCUACU